CCUACGGGGGGCAGCAGUGGGGAAUAUUGCACAAUGGGGGAAACCCUGAUGCAGCAACGCCGCGUGAGUGAAGAAGUAUUUCGGCAUGUAAAGCUCUAUCAGCAGGGAAGAAGAUGACGGUACCUGAGGAAGAAGCCCCGGCUAACUACGUGCCAGCAGCCGCGGUAAUACGUAGGGGGCAAGCGUUAUCCGGAUUUACUGGGUGUAAAGGGAGCGUAGACGGCGGUCCAAGUCAGGAGUGAAAGCCCGGGGCCCAACCCCGGGACUGCUUUGGAAACUGCCUGACUGGAGUGCUGGAGAGGCAAGCGGAAUUCCUAGUGUAGCGGUGAAAUGCGUAGAUAUUAGGAAGAACACCAGUGGCGAAGGCGGCUUGCUGGACAGUAACUGACGUUGAGGCUCGAAAGCGUGGGGAGCAAACAGGAUUAGAUACCCUUGUAGUC
rnacentral:rRNA from 1 species